rnacentral:rRNA from 1 species
CCUACGGGCGGCAGCAGUGGGGAAUAUUGCACAAUGGGCGAAAGCCUGAUGCAGCAACGCCGCGUGAAGGAAGAAGGGUUUCGGCUCGUAAACUUCUAUCAACAGGGACGAAAGAAACGACGGUAGCCGAAUAAGAAGCAGCGGCUCACUACGGGCCAGCAGCCGCGGUAAUACGUAGGGGGCAAGCCUUAUCCGGAAUUACUGGGUGUAAAGGGUGAGGAGGCGGCAUGGGAAGGCAGAUGUGAAAGCCUUGGGCUUAACCCGAGGAUUGCCUUUGGAACUCUCAAGCUAGAGUACAGGAGAGGAUAGCGGAAUUCCUAGUGUAGCGGUGAAAUGCGUAGAUAUUAGGAAGAACACCAGUGGCGAAGGCGGCUUUCUGGACUGAAACUGACGCUGAGGCACGAACGCGUGGGGAGCGAACAGGAUUAGAUACCCGGGUAGUC